GUGGAUUAGAUACCCGGUAGUCCACGCCGUAAACGAUGUUCACUAGGUGUUGAGGGUAUUGACCCCUUCAGUGCCGAAGCUAACGCAUUAAGUGAACCGCCUGGGGAGUACGGUCGCAAGAUUAAAACUCAAAGGAAUUGACGGGGGCCCGCACAAGCGGUGGAGCAUGUGGUUUAAUUCGAUGCAACGCGAAGAACCUUACCUGGGCUUGACAUCCCGGGAAUCUUCUGGAAACAGGAGAGUGCCCUUCGGGGAACCCGGAGACAGGUGCUGCACGGCUGUCGCCAACU
rnacentral:rRNA from 1 species